UACGAAGGGGGCUAGCGUUGUUCGGAAUCACUGGGCGUAAAGGGCGCGUAGGCGGCCGUUCAAGUCGGGGGUGAAAGCCUGUGGCUCAACCACAGAAUUGCCUUCGAUACUGGACGGCUCGAGACCGGAAGAGGUCAGUGGAACUGCGAGUGUAGAGGUGAAAUUCGUAGAUAUUCGCAAGAACACCGGUGGCGAAGGCGGCCCACUGGUCCGGUACUGACGCUGAGGUGCGAAAGCGUGGGGAGCAAACAGG
rnacentral:rRNA from 1 species